UGGUACCUACCGUGAGGUGAGGAAUACCACCGAGAAAUCGGUGACAAGACCGCAUAGCUUUCGUGUGUAGGCACGAAGGAAAGCUCCGCAAGGGGCGCCACACGAUGGGCCUGUGCCUGAUUAGCUAGUUGGUGGGGUAAGAGCCCACCAAGGCGACGAUCGGUAGCUGGUCUGAGAGGAUGGUCAGCCACACUGGGACUGAGACACGGCCCAG
rnacentral:rRNA from 1 species